UACAGAGGUCCCAAGCGUUGUUCGGAUUCACUGGGCGUAAAGGGUGCGUAGGCGGUCGGGUAAGUCUGAUGUGAAAUCUCCAAGCUCAACUUGGAAAUGGCAUCGGAUACUAUUCGGCUCGAGGAAUGGAGGGGAGACUGGAAUACUUGGUGUAGCAGUGAAAUGCGUAGAUAUCAAAGUGGAACACCAGUGGCGAAGGCGAGUCUCUGGACAUUUCCUGACGCUGAGGCACGAAAGCCAGGGGAGCAAACGGG
rnacentral:rRNA from 1 species